GGUUCUCCAGGAGCCAGUGAAGUGGAACGAUACAGAGAAGAUUAGCAUGGCCCCUGCGCAAGGAUGACACGCACAAAUCUAAAAAAAACUUAUU
rnacentral:snRNA from 1 species